AGAUUGGCAGAAUCACAUAUAAAUUACAUUCUAGGCAUUACUCAGCAAGUCUGUGGUACCAAAGUCUGGAAAAAAGAAAAAAAAGAAAGCAGAAAAGGCAGCAGCUGAAACGGUGGAAAAAGAAGAUACAAAUAGUGCCAUCAAAGGCGAGAAUGUUUGAAGGGCAACAAUGGCAAUUUUCAACAAAACUCAUUGCACCAUCCAAGCAAACAAGGACAUCAAGGCCACAGUGAUUGGUCAUCUCAUAACAAGGACAUCAAGGCCACAGAGAUUGGUCAUCUCAUCCACAGUACCUGAUCUUGGCCAACGACAUGUAAAAGAAAAUUCUGUUCUGAAAAUUUCUAUUUUUACUGCCAUUGUCUUUUCAGUUUUAAUUUGGUCCCUUUUUCUAAUCUUACUAUACUUAAUAUUUGUUUUUCUUUUUAUCUUUUAUUUGAUGAGAUACUUAGGUAUAGGAAAAUUGCAUCAGAAACUUUUUUAUUUUUGUUUCGGGGAGAGAAAGUAAACAGGUUUCAUAUUCUAUUUAAAACUUGCUGUAUUCUUGUUUAGUUGUAUUAAUUUGAAACUUAAGUUUUAAAGGUACAACUGUAGGUGCUGGUUAAUUUUUUUAGCAAAUUAUUUUACACUACACAGUGCUGGAUUGGCAGUUGUGUAAUUUUAAAAGUUUUCAGAUACAUUUUUAAACCUUUACGCAUGGUUAUAUGCUUCCUGUUACUAAUUGGACUGCUUAAGGACCAUAGAAUUAAUACUACCAGACAAUUGCAGCUAUACACCAUUCUUUGAUAUCUUGUAUGUGAUGUCAUUGGCUGAGGCUAUGGGUCCAAGGUUGUCUUCAGUCAAUAAAAUGCCCUUUUGAAAGAAAUAAA